UACGUAGGGGGGCAAGCGUUGUCCGGAUUUAUUGGGCGUAAAGAGCGUGUAGGCGGCUUUACAGGUCCGUUGUGAAAACUCGAGGCUCAACCUCGAGACGCCGGUGGAAACCGUAAAGCUAGAGUCCGGAAGAGGAGAGUGGAAUUCCUGGUGUAGCGGUGAAAUGCGCAGAUAUCAGGAGGAACACCCGUGGCGAAAGCGGCUCUCUGGGACGGUACUGACGGCUGAGACGCGAAAAGCGUGGGGGAGCAAAACAGG
rnacentral:rRNA from 1 species